rnacentral:rRNA from 1 species
AGCGAACGUUAGCGGCGCGCCUAACACAUGCAAGUCGCACGAGAAAGGGAGCAAUCCCCGGUACAGUGGCGCACGGGUGAGUAACACGUAGAUGACCUUCCCUGGAGUGGUGGAUAACCUGCCGAAAGGCGGGCUAAUACAGCAUGGGACCACAUGGUUUUGACCGAGUGGUGAAAGCGGGCCUCUGUUCACAAGCUCGCGCUCUGGGAUGGGUCUGCGUCCCAUCAGCUAGUUGGUGAGGUAAUGGCUCACCAAGGCAUCGACGGGUAGCUGGUCUGAGAGGAUGACCAGCCACACUGGAACUGAGACACGGUCCAGACUCCUACGGGAGGCAGCAGUGGGGAAUCUUGCGCAAUGGGCGAAAGCCUGACGCAGCGACGCCGCGUGGGUGAUGAAGGCCUCGGUUGG